UGAGGAAUAUUGGGCAAUGCCCGCAAGGGUGACCCAGCAACGCCGCGUGGAGGAUGAAUGUCGUAAGAUUGUAAACUCCUGUUAGAGGGGAAGAAUAGUACCGGUUGGACCGGUAUAUGACUGUACCCUCAGAGAAAGCCCCGGCUAACUACGUGCCAGCAGCCGCGGUAAUACGUAGGGGGCAAGCGUUGUCCGGAUUUACUGGGUGAAAAGGGCGCGCAGGCGGGAUAAAAAGUCAGUGGUGAAAUCCUACAGCUUAACUGUAGAACUGCCUUUGAUACUUUUAUUCUUGAGUUCGGGAGAGAGAGACGGAAUUCCAGGUGUAGUGGUGAAAUACGUAGAUAUCUGGAAGAACACCAGUUGCGAAGGCGGUCUCUUGGUCCGACACUGACGCUGAGGCGCGAAAGCGUGGGGAGCAAACA
rnacentral:rRNA from 1 species